GGGGAAUAUUGUACAAUGGGGGAAACCCUGAUGCAGCGACGCCGCGUGGAGGAAGAAGGUCUUCGGAUUGUAAACUCCUGUUGUUGAGGAAGAUAAUGACGGUACUCAACAAGGAAGUGACGGCUAACUACGUGCCAGCAGCCGCGGUAAAACGUAGGUCACAAGCGUUGUCCGGAAUUACUGGGUGUAAAGGGAGCGCAGGCGGGAAGACAAGUUGGAAGUGAAAUCUAUGGGCUCAACCCAUAAACUGCUUUCAAAACUGUUUUUCUUGAGUAGUGCAGAGGUAGGCGGAAUUCCCGGUGUAGCGGUGGAAUGCGUAGAUAUCGGGAGGAACACCAGUGGCGAAGGCGGCCUACUGGGCACCAACUGACGCUGAGGCUCGAAAGUGUGGGUAGCAAACAGGAUUAGAUACCCUGGUAGUCCACACCGUAAACGAUGAUUACUAGGUGUUGGAGGAUUGACCCCUUCAGUGCCGCAGUUAACACAAUAAGUAAUCCACCUGGGGAGUACGACCGCAAGGUUGAAACUCAAAGGAAUUGACGGGGGCCCGCACAAGCAGUGGAGUAUGUGGUUUAAUUCGACGCAACGCGAAGAACCUUACCAAGUCUUGACAUCCUGCGACGAUGCUGGAAACAGUAUUUUCCUUCGGGACGCAGAGACAGGUGGUGCAUGGUUGUCGUCAGCUCGUGUCGUGAGAUGUUGGGUUAAGUCCCGCAACGAGCGCAACCCUUAUGGUCAGUUACUACGCAAGAGGACUCUGGCCAGACUGCCGUUGACAAAACGGAGGAAGGUGGGGAUGACGUCAAAUCAUCAUGCCCUUUAUGACUUGGGCUACACACGUACUACAAUGGCGUUAAACAAAGAGAAGCAAGACCGCGAGGUGGAGCAAAACUCAGAAACAACGUCCCAGUUCGGACUGCAGGCUGCAACUCGCCUGCACGAAGUCGGAAUUGCUAGUAAUCGUGGAUCAGCAUGCCACGGUGAAUACGUUCCCG
rnacentral:rRNA from 1 species